UCCUGUAGCUGCUUUAUUUCUCCACUUUCAAAAGCUUGGGCUGGGCCCAACUCAGGCGGACCAAUCCUGUUUCUAUUACUGUGACUUGAGUCUCUACACUGA
rnacentral:sRNA from 1 species